GCCCCUGGGGACAAGGCACUAGCUCAGUCAGUAGAGCACGAGACUCUUUAUCCCAGGGUUGUGCGUUCAAGCCCCAUGUUGGGCA